rnacentral:tRNA from 1 species
GCUGUUGUAGCUCAGUCGGCAGAGCGCGUCCUUGGUAAGGACGAGGUCGGGAGUUCGAAUCUCCCCAACAGCUCCA